rnacentral:rRNA from 1 species
GAUCAUGGCUCAGAUUGAACGCUGGCGGAAUGCUUUACACAUGCAAGUCGAACGGUAGAGGGGGCAACCCUCGAGAGUGGCGAACGGGUGAGUAAUAUAUCGGAACGUGCCCAGUCGUGGGGGAUAACGUAGCGAAAGUUACGCUAAUACCGCAUACGAUCUACGGAUGAAAGCGGGGGACUCGCAAGAGCCUCGCGCGAUUGGAGCGGCCGAUAUCAGAUUAGGUAGUUGGUGAGGUAAAGGCUCACCAAGCCAACGAUCUGUAGCUGGUCUGAGAGGACGACCAGCCACACUGGAACUGAGACACGGUCCAGACUCCUACGGGAGGCAGCAGUGGGGAAUUUUGGACAAUGGACGCAAGUCUGAUCCAGCCAUUCCGCGUGCAGGACGAAGGCCUUCGGGUUGUAAACUGCUUUUAUACAGGAAGAAACCCUCCCACGUGUGGGAGCUUGACGGUACUGUAGGAAUAAGGAUCGGCUAACUCCGUG